rnacentral:rRNA from 1 species
AGUGAACGCUGGCGGUAGGCCUAACACAUGCAAGUCGAACGGCAGCACAGUAAGAGCUUGCUCUUACGGGUGGCGAGUGGCGGACGGGUGAGGAAUACAUCGGAAUCUACUUUUUCGUGGGGGAUAACGUAGGGAAACUUACGCUAAUACCGCAUACGACCUACGGGUGAAAGCAGGGGAUCUUCGGACCUUGCGCGAUUGAAUGAGCCGAUGUCGGAUUAGCUAGUUGACGGGGUAAAGGCCCACCAAGGCGACGAUCCGUAGCUGGUCUGAGAGGAUGAUCAGCCACACUGGAACUGAGACACGGUCCAGACUCCUACGGGAGGCAGCAGUGGGGAAUAUUGGACAAUGGGCGCAAGCCUGAUCCAGCCAUACCGCGUGGGUGAAGAAGGCCUUCGGGUUGUAAAGCCCUUUUGUUGGGAAAGAAAAGCAGCAGGUUAAUACCCCGCUGUUCUGACGGUACCCAAAGAAUAAGCACCGGCUAACUUCGU